UACAGAGGGGGCGAGCGUUGUUCGGAAUUACUGGGCGUAAAGGGCACGUAGGCGGCCUGCUAUGUCGAACGUGAAAUCCCCGGGCUCAACCCGGGAACUGCGUCCGAAACUGGCAGGCUUGAAUCCGGGAGAGGGAUGUGGAAUUCCAGGUGUAGCGGUGAAAUGCGUAGAUAUCUGGAGGAACACCGGUGGCGAAGGCGGCAUCCUGGACCGGUAUUGACGCUGAGGCGCGAAAGCCAGGGGAGCAAACGGG
rnacentral:rRNA from 1 species